GCCCGAAAAAACGGCACCCGCGGAGCGAGGCUGGUGAAACAGAUACUAGCCAUUCUGUACGACCGGCUAAAGCACAACUCCAGACACCAGGCCAACAGCCCCCGAAGAGUUAUCACCCCCGGACAGCUAAAAGAUCAGCUGUGAAACCGUCAUAAUGGAGCUUUCUGAAGAUGCUGAGGGGAAUAGAUGAUUUGGAACAGCCUUCGUUAGAGGGGGUUUCAGUGGAGCAAAACGCAUGCAGCCAGUCCCCAUCACACUAUUGUCAACCUGACAGACCACAAAGAAGGCUCACUGCUGCAUUAUCUACUCUGAACGAUGACAUAGAUGCUAUUCUCCCGUUCUGUACGAACGUUUUUUCAAACGCACCGAGAAUCGUCACAUCAACUCCCCCGGGAACCACCACCCGCACGCUCCAUACUCCCGACCCAAACAAGUAACGCACAACAUGUGCGCAAGUGCAUUGCGCAUAAUCACCACAGCCCGAAAAGUGUUACUGGGCCGGAAACUUACUGCUUCAAGAAACGGCGCUACAUGGACAAGACUCCAACGAGACAUGCCCGGCAGAAUCUGGAAGGCCUGGUGAAAAAAAGUCCAGAGUCCACGGUUUCCGUGAUUCGUCAGAACAGCCCGCGUCA